UGAACUCUGUCCCGAUGCGACAAUGAUACAGCAACAAGGUGAAGCUGCACUGCGCCGUGCUUAAUUCCAUCGACUGUCAAGAAGAUGGACGUUAAACUACCAUGCCUGCUGUUUCUAGCCGUUUGUGUGGCUGGUCAGUGUUCGGCAACGUUUAUUGGAACGUAUGCUGAAAAACUGAAGAACGACCUAAUUAAGAAAAUAAUGGCGGAGUUCAAAAUACUCUUAGAGAUAGCAAAAAACUAUCCGUUGCCGACACCAACUCCCAUUUUUAAGGAUCGUGACAACAGAAGUGAUCUCGAGAAAAUAUACGACUGGUUAAAAUCCCUGAAUUUAACCCAGUUGCUGCAAAUAUGGAGAGAAGUCCAGAGAAUUAAACAAAAUGGUGUUUCUCCAGAUGGUACCAUAAACUUCCUUGGAAAAACUUUCCAUGUAAGCAGCCUGAUAGACCAUUGCUGCCUCAUUGGGUAAAGACACAACGGAGGUGUAGAUUUUUUUUCCUACUCUCUCCCUAUCACCAAGGGAACACUCUGAAACAAUAAUUCAACAUCCAGUGGUUAAGAAAUUCAGUGUCCAGAUUUUUUUCCGAGAGAGAGAAAAACAGUAACGUUUAGUGGCUAAAUAUUCAAGUCUCCGUGUGUUUUUUAUUUCCUGGAAUGGAAUUAAACAUAUUGAAAGCAAAGGAAUUUUCGUCAGAUCUGAAAUAAAGAUGUAUACCUAUUCA